UAGCGGCCGAAGUCUUUUUUGCGGGAGUGAAAGAGCCAGUUUUGGAUCCCUAGACCUGUCCCUUGCAGAGGGGUGGGGAUUUGGAAUCCGCAGCUGAGAGGAGUGAGGGAACAUCUUUAUUCAGCAGGUUUCCCAGACAACGUUGGAGGCUCCGAACAUCCUUCAACACCUCCGUGAGGGCUGCUUUUGUCAAGGAGCAGUCUCUCUCUGCCAACGGCGCUGCAACCAUGGGAGGAAUUCCAAUAAUUGACACCAUCGACGAAGACACCGAAAUCCUAACACGAAAGUCGAGCAUGAGUUCAUUCUGCAGUGUGGCUGCCAGUGAAAACAACAACAGCAGCAAUGAUGAUUGUUCAUUGUUGUGAACAGAUGUGUUUCUGUUCAGCCAGGAAUGACAACAUUUGGACAUCCUGGACACACCGUCGUACUGUACCAGUGAGCACACAGCAGCACAUCAGUGACAGUGUCCGGCAGACAUGUGAGCUACUUCUGUAAUUUGUUGGCAACUACUAAUGUUUGCAAUGUGAAGUCUGUCUGUACUUUUGAAAG